AACGAACGCUGGCGGCGCGCCUAAUACAUGCAAGUCGAGCGAGAAGACGUAGCAAUACGUUUGUAAAGCGGCGAACGGGUGAGGAAUACAUGGGUAACCUACCCUCGAGUGGGGAAUAACUAGCCGAAAGGUUAGCUAAUACCGCGUACGCUCCUUGGACUUCGGUUCAGGGAGGAAAGCGAUACCGUGGGUAUCGCGCUCUUGGAUGGGCUCAUGUCCUAUCAGCUUGUUGGNGAGGUAACGGCUCACCAAGGCUUCGACGGGUAGCUGGUCUGAGAGGACGAUCAGCCACACUGGCACUGCGACACGGGCCAGGACUCCCACGGGAGGCAGCAGUAAGGAUAUUGCGCAAUGGGCGAAAGCCUGACGCAGCGACGCCGCGGUGGGGGAUGAAGGUC
rnacentral:rRNA from 1 species